GGACUACUCGGGUAUCUAAUCCUGUUCGCUCCCCUAGCUUUCGCGCCUCAGCGUCAGUCACCCUCCAGGACACUGCCUUCGCCUUUGGUAUUCCUCCGGAUAUCUACGCAUUUCACCACUCCACCCGGAAUUCUAUGUCCCUCUCUGGUCCUCAAGUUCCCCAGUUUUCAGAGGCCUUGCUCAGUUAAGCCGAGCACUGUCACUCCAAACUUAAGAAACCGCCUACGCGCCCUUUACGCCCAAUAAAUCCGGACAACGCUCGCCCCCUACGUAUUACCGCGGCUGCUGGCAC
rnacentral:rRNA from 1 species